CUAAAUACUCUCUAUUAACUCUAUUUAUACAUCCCCUCCCACAUUAUCAGCAAACUGUCGUCCCUGCAGCUUUUCUUCCCUUCAUUAAAGAGUGUGGAGGAGAAACCCAGAGAGUUGUGAUCUUUUUUCUAUACCUUCUCUUCUGCAAAUUCUGCUUCUUCCGUGAAGGGUGAGCUUGUGCACGUUGUUUGCGGUGGGAACAGAAAGGGAUUGAGGAGU